GAUGAACGCUGGCGGCGUGCUUAACACAUGCAAGUCGAACGGAGUGCUCAUGACGGAGUUUUCGGACAACGGAUUGGGUUACUUAGUGGCGGACGGGUGAGUAACGCGUGAGGAACCUGCCUCGGAGUGGGGAAUAACACACCGAAAGGUGUGCUAAUACCGCAUAAUGCAGUUGGGUCGCAUGACUCUGACUGCCAAAGAUUUAUCGCUCUGAGAUGGCCUCGCGUCUGAUUAGCUAGUUGGCGGGGUAACGGCCCACCAAGGCGACGAUCAGUAGCCGGACUGAGAGGUUGACCGGCCACAUUGGGACUGAGACACGGCCCAG
rnacentral:rRNA from 1 species